rnacentral:rRNA from 1 species
AUGAACGCUGGCGGCGUGCUUAACACAUGCAAGUCGAACGAUGAAGCCCAGCUUGCUGGGUGGAUUAGUGGCGAACGGGUGAGUAACACGUGAGUAACCUGCCCUUCACUCUGGGAUAAGCCUGGGAAACUGGGUCUAAUACCGGAUAGGAGCGUCCACCGCAUGGUGGGUGUUGGAAAGAUUUAUCGGUUUUGGAUGGACUCGCGGCCUAUCAGCUUGUUGGUGAGGUAAUGGCUCACCAAGGCGACGACGGGUAGCCGGCCUGAGAGGGUGACCGGCCACACUGGGACUGAGAGACGGCCCAGACUCCUACGGGAGGCAGCAGUGGGGAAUAUUGCACAAUGGGCGCAAGCCUGAUGCAGCGACGCCGCGUGAGGGAUGACGGCCUUCGGGUUGUAAACCUCUUUCAGUAGGGAAGAAGCGAAAGUGACGGUACCUGCAGAAGAAGCACCGGCUAACUACGUG